UAGGGAAUCUUCGGCAAUGGGGGGAACCCUGACCGAGCAACGCCGCGUGAGUGAAGAAGGUUUUCGGAUCGUAAAGCUCUGUUGUUAAGGAAGAACGAGUGUGAGAAUGGAAAGUUCAUGCUGUGACGGUACUUAACCAGAAAGGGACGGCUAACUACGUGCCAGCAGCCGCGGUAAUACGUAGGUCCCGAGCGUUGUCCGGAUUUAUUGGGCGUAAAGCGAGCGCAGGCGGUUAGAAAAGUCUGAAGUGAAAGGCAGUGGCUCAACCAUUGUAGGCUUUGGAAACUGUUUAACUGGAGUGCAGAAGGGGAGAGUGGAAUUCCAUGUGUAGCGGUGAAAUGCGUAGAUAUAUGGAGGAACACCGGUGGCGAAAGCGGCUCUCUGGUCUGUAACUGACGCGGAGGCUCGAAAGCGUGGGGAGCGAACAGG
rnacentral:rRNA from 1 species